rnacentral:pre_miRNA from 1 species
AAAUCUCUGCAGGCAAAUGUGAUGUCACUGAAGAAUCACACACUUACCUGUAAAGAUUCUG